CGAAAGCCUGACGGAGCAACGCCGCGUGAGGGAUGAAGGCCUCUGGGCUGUAAACCUCUUUUCUCAAGGAAGAAGAUCUGACGGUACUUGAGGAAUAAGCCACGGCUAAUUCCGUGCCAGCAGCCGCGGUAAUACGGAAGUGGCAAGCGUUAUCCGGAAUUAUUGGGCGUAAAGCGUCCGCAGGCGGUUCUGUAAGUCUGCCGUUAAAGCGUGGAGCUUAACUCCAUUUCGGCGGUGGAAACUGCAGGACUUGAGUGUGGUAGGGGCAGAGGGAAUUCCCGGUGUAGCGGUGAAAUGCGUAGAUAUCGGGAAGAACACCAGUGGCGAAGGCGCUCUGCUGGGCCAUAACUGACGCUCAUGGACGAAAGCCAGGGGAGCG
rnacentral:rRNA from 1 species